CAUAUAACUUGUCAGUUAUUUGUAAAACUCGAAGAAGUAACAAGCUUACAAGCAAUGAAAUACGGGUGGAUAAUAUUUGUGCUAUUUCAACUCGUUCUAUUGCUGUCGAUGCAACCGAGGGAUGCAAAUGGCGCCUGUUGUAGGCAUGAAGAUGGUUGGUGUAAGGACGGCACAUUUGCGACGCCCUGCUGUGGAAUAAAUCAAUGCAAUAUGUUUUGCUGCAAUUGCAGAUGCAGACGUGGAUGGAGGUCCCGGAAUAGCCACGGUGAAGAUUCUCAAAGGAGUUCCCGUCGUCAUGAUCAUCGUCAUACCCAUGAUCGUGAUCAUCACCACAAACACAAAGGAAAACAUUCCGAUUCCUGCAAGUACACAAUUCUCGCCAUGUGGACAUCAAAGGAAUAAGCUUUUUAUAAACAAUUAAUUUAAUACUGAGAAUUAAAUUGCUCUCAUUGAAGUUAAUGGCAUACAAAUAUCCUAAGACUGUCUUCUUUCAAUUCCAACGUUGGCUGGUCAAACACAGCAAACAGAAAACGCAAAAGAUAUAGGCUUAGUCCUCGUGUUGGGCGAAACCGAGAGCCAGAGUAUAUUCUGGGUUAGUCGUGGAUGCGAGAUCUCAGAUCUCAGAAAAGAACUAUUGUCCUAAUGGUUAUUUAAUUUGGUUGCGAUUAUUUAACAAUUGUAUGAAAUAAUUGUAUAUGGCAAAAGUCGACUGUUGUCGAGAGGUCUUAGUUGCUUUGGUUGGCAAUCCAGUAUAUUUUGAAUGUAGCAGUAUAUUGAUAUACGAAAUAUCUUUUGUGUAUUUUAGGGCUAAUCUAUAAUAUAUUCGUGAACAUUUUCCGGGUAUUCGACGCUUUUCUCUAUAUCCUACUCUUCUAGCGUGCAACUAUCAUUCUUUUUUUUUGCAAUUUGCAUUAUAGGAAUUCGAGUUCGGUUAUUUAACCGAAAGUUUCAUGACUAAUUGCAUAAUAUGAUUAUACAUUUGAAACACUUAAUUGAACUUUCUACAGCAUUGCGCCUCAUACAACUUGUCAGUUAUUUGUGAAAGUCGAAGAAGUAACAAGCUUACAAACAAUGAAAUACGGGUGGAUAAUAUUUGUGCUAAUUCAACUCGUUCUAUUGCUGUCGAUGCAACCGAGGGUAGCAAAUGGCGCCUGUUGUCGCCCUAUAGGACCUUAUUGUCUGGACGGGACGUUUGCCACGCCCUGCUGUGGAAAAGAUAAUUGCAAUAUUUUUUGCUGCAAUUGCAAAUGCAAAAAACCAUGGUUUGUCCGGAAUAGGCAUGGUGAACAUUCUCAAAGGAGUUCCCGUGGUCAUGAUGGUCAUCAUACCCAUGAUGGUGAUCAUCAUCACAAACACAAAGGAAGAAAACAUUCCGAUUCCUGCAAGUACACAAUUCUCGCCAUGUGGACAUCAAAGGAAUAAGCUUUUUAUAAACAAUUAAUUUAAUACUGAGAAUUAAAUUGCUCUCAUUGAAGUUAAUGGCAUUAAAAAAUCCUAAGACUGUCUUCUUUCAAUUUCAAUGUUGGCUGGUCAAACACAGCAAACAGAAAACGCAAAAGAUAUAGGCAUAGUCCUCGUGUUGGGCGAAACCGAGAGCCAGAGUACAAGGUGCGUUCCAAAGUAAACAGGACUUUUUGAAUCUAGCGCCCUCUGGCGGCGCCAUCUAUAUGUCAAUUGGUGCGUUAGAAUCUGCUAUCCUUUAUCGACU